rnacentral:rRNA from 1 species
CCUACGGGUGGCAGCAGUGGGGGAUAUUGCACAAUGGGGGGAACCCUGAUGCAGCGACGCCGCGUGGGUGAAGGAGUGCUUCGGCAUGUAAAGCCCUAUCGGCAGGGAAGAAGCAAGACGUUACCUGACUAAGAAGCCCCGGCUACCGACGUGCCAGAAGCCGCGGUAAGACGUAGGGGGCGAGCGUUACCCGGUUUCACUGGGUGAAAAGGGAGCGUAGACGGCCGUGCAAGCCAGGGGUGAAAGCCCGGGGCUCAACCCCGGAACUGCCCUUGAAACUGCAUGGCUGGAGUGCGGGAGGGGCAGGCGGAAUUCCUGGUGUAGCGGUGAAAUGCGUAGAUAUCAGGAGGAACACCAGCGGCGAAGGCGGCUUGCUGGACUGCGACUGACGUUGAGGCUCGAAAGCGUGGGGAGCGAACAGGAUUAGAUACCCUAGUAGUC